rnacentral:rRNA from 1 species
CACGUAGGGCGCGAGCGUUGUCCGGAAUUAUUGGGCGUAAAGAGCUCGUAGGCGGCCUGUUGCGUCCGCUGUGAAAGCCCGGGGCUUAACCCCGGGUCGGCAGUGGAUACGGGCAGGCUAGAGGUAGGUAGGGGAGAAUGGAAUUCCCGGUGUAGCGGUGAAAUGCGCAGAUAUCGGGAAGAACACCAGUGGCGAAGGCGGCUGCCUGGCCUGUAACUGACGCUGAGACGCGAAAGCGUGGGGAGCGAACCGG